AUUUGAAAUUAGGUUUCCACUGUAUUUUCAGUGACCGCUCUUCUGCUUGUGGAGGAUCACAAGCAGAAGUGAUGUAUGCAGACACUUUGGAUCCCGAUCGAGGCGCCCCUGGCCCUCGUAACAAGGGACCCGGAGGCAGAGGAAACGAGCGUUAUUCACGGCAGAUUGAUGAGCUGGAUUACAUCGUGCCGCGGGGUGGCUAUUACUUCGAGGUUGGUUGAUCAUUGUUGAGUUGGA
rnacentral:lncRNA from 1 species